rnacentral:lncRNA from 1 species
CAGAAUUCUAGCAGGGCUCUCCUGCUAUUCAGAAAGUUACAACUGUGCCCUCUCCAGCAAAGUCUGGAUCUCAGCCAGCCCUAAGAGUGUGUCUGUGUCUUGGAGGAGCUCUUUUUGAGAUGCUGUAUCUCAGCCCUAGGGUUAGGGGCAAGGCAAGGUCCCUGUUCUUAUGGAGCUAGCACUGAGGUCACCCAGGUGCAAGCCCAGAGGCAGUCUAUACCCCAACUCAACUGGCUGGUCCUCAAUGCUGCCUGCUUCCGUGCCCAACUUAGAACUACACAUCUGCUGCCUCUUGGUAACAUGUCAUUAUAAGGGCUUCUUCAUCAGCCCUAACCCUGCCAACCACUCCUGCCUCACUGAAUGUGCCAACGGAUUGCUCAGCUCCAACCAAGGAAAAGAAGAAGGAAGUUGGAUACUUUAUACCCUCUACAUUGUCCAUUAGCAACACAACCUAGAGCUAGGAUGGAGAAAGAAAAUGCCAAAAUGCUAAUGAAAAAUGUUCAGAUGUAUCACAUAUUAAGCAUACAUGAUCUCAAAUAUUUUGCCUGAUUUAUGCUAUGCAUGCUAUUUUCCAUGUUGUGUAGGCUCUGAUGCUAGUCUACAUUUACAGAAAUCUCCAUCAGCUGUACAAAUGGCAAUUUAAAUACAUUUAACUAUGUGCUAAUAAUCUCAUAAUACAAUUUAUCAUGUAUGAUUGGCAGAAGAAAUUAUUUGGGGCAAAAGCUAUGAUUGUAUUGUUGUAAGUUAUUAUGAAUGCUGGGCAGUGUAGGGCAUGGCACUUGCUACCACCUCCCAGAAAUGUGUAAGGGCUGUUGAAGGUGCCUUGUUCUUCUUUCUUCUUCAAUAUAAGCAAAGCUAUUUAUAUCAUAAAGCUGAAACUUGAAAUUCCACCCUUGCCUAUUCUUUUUCCUCAGAAAGAUGUCUUUCUUUCUAAGAAUAUAUUGCACUUAAGGAUAGGAGGUGUCUCCUUUGGACGUCUGAAGAUUGCCAUUUGAAAUGCUCUUUGAGGGAUGCGAAGUCAACCCUGGAUCCAAAGUAGCUUUGAUGUUUGUCAGGAAAAUGCUGGAAUUCUAUACACUACAGUUUCUACAGAGCAUGAAGAACUCCAACUUCAGACAACCUGCAAAAAAAGUCAGAGAGCAAUUAAAUAUAAAAAUAAAUUCCUUUGAUAAAACAAAA